GAAUGUGAGGGCCAUCUAGCUGUGACAUCUGUUACCCCAUUGAUUGCCAGGGUUGAUUCAGCUGUUCUGGCUGGCUAGGCAGGUGUCCCCUUCCUCUCUUACUACUUCACGUGUGUGCCUCCCAAAGCUGCACGCUUAGUCGAAGAGGAUGACCUUCCCCAAUACAGAAGGACCGUUCUUCCGUCAAGGGUAUAUGAGUAGCUGUGUUCCCCCUUGUAGAACCUUCAAACAAGCUCUCAAGGUUCAGAUGAGGUACUGGUAGGGAUAUUAGUAGGGUCUGACCAAGUUAUGAUGUUCUAAUCCCUAAGUUGUCAUUAGUA
rnacentral:snRNA from 1 species